CCUACGGGAGGCAGCAGUAGGGAAUAUUGCUCAAUGGGGGAAACCCUGAAGCAGCAACGCCGCGUGGAGGAUGAAGGUUUUCGGAUUGUAAACUCCUUUUGUUAGAGAAGAAAAUGACGGUACCUGACUAAGAAGCCCCGGCUAACUACGUGCCAGCAGCCGCGGUAAUACGUAGGGGGCAAGCGUUAUCCGGAUUUACUGGGUGUAAAGGGAGCGUAGACGGCAGUGCAAGUCUGAAGUGAAAGGCAAGGGCUCAACCCUUGGACUGCUUUGGAAACUGUGCUGCUGGAGUGUCGGAGAGGCAA
rnacentral:rRNA from 1 species